rnacentral:lncRNA from 1 species
GGCAUUGUAUUAGAAGUGCAUUGGUUGGUUUGUUAUCCUUCUUUAUUGAAAUACAUAUGCCUGAAAUAGACCUAGUGGGCGAAUCGGCGUGGUCGGCGGCCGAACCCACUGGGAACUUCGUUCUAGUUCUCAUUACCACUAACCCUGCAGAUCCGUGUGCGAGCGGGGCAGCGGAGGAUCGAGGCAAGGGUAUCGCGCCGUAGCUAGCGGCCCUCGAAAUAUAGGCAUACCCUACAUUUUGGUGUACUCAACUGUAGGUGUUGAACUGUAAAUGAUGUAAAGCAAGAAAUGCAAAUUAUAUUUUGGGUAAUGUAAGAAUGAUGUAAAUCAUGUAUUUUGGUUAAAGGAAAACGUGAUGUAAAUGAAUGGGUAAGUGAAUGUAAAUGUAAUAGACUACUUGUGUUUGAUUCAAAUGAAAUCAAAUGACUUGUAUAUUGGAUGCUUAGAUAGUUUCGAUGCUUUCACUUGUGGUUGUUGUUUGCCUUCGUGCAAACCUUGUAUAUCUCGCAAUUCUCUUUAUUGAUUUGCUUGUAAUAUACUUGAUGUUGGAGCCUUGGGCGGACAGGAGAGGUGUUGUCCGUUCGGCGUCUGUCAUGUGCUCGA